rnacentral:piRNA from 1 species
UGGAUAGUCAACAAAGGAGAGAAGAAAGG